ensembl:snRNA U5 U5 spliceosomal RNA
UCGCUCGGGUUUCUCUUCGUUCAUGCACAAACCUUUCGCCUUUUACUAAAGAUUUCCGUGGAGGGGAACGUUGACGAGUUCUUAUUUUUGAAGGCUCUGACAGCUCUGGCAGAGCU